GGCCAAGUUUUUAAGGGCGCACGGUGGAUGCCUUGGCACCAGGAACCGAUGAAGGACGUGGGAGGCCGCGAUAGGCCCCGGGGAGCUGUCAACCGAGCUUUGAUCCGGGGGUGUCCGAAUGGGGAAACCCGGCAGUCGUCAUGGGCUGUCACCCAUACCUGAACACAUAGGGUAUGUGGAGGGAACGCGGGGAAGUGAAACAUCUCAGUACCCGCAGGAAGAGAAAACAACCGUGAUUCCGGGAGUAGUGGCGAGCGAAACUGGAUGAGGCUAAACCGUAUGUGUGUGAUACCCGGCAGGGGUUGCGCGUGCGGUGUUGUGGGUUCGUACUUCAGUCGUCUGCCGGCGGCUGGGUGAGUCAGAAAUUGUUGAUGUAGGCGAAGGGCAUGCGAAAGGCCCGGCGUAGAGGGUAAGACCCCCGUAGCUGAAAUGUCAGCAACUUGCUUGUGCGAUACCCAAGUAGCACGGGGCCCGAGAAAUCCCGUGUGAAUCUGGCGGGACCACCCGCUAAGCCUAAAUAUUCCCUGGUGACCGAUAGCGGAUAGUACCGUGAGGGAAUGGUGAAAAGUACCGCGGGAGCGGAGUGAAAUAGUACCUGAAACCGUGUGCCUACAAGCCGUGGGAGCGUCGCGCAGGGACUUGUCCCUGCGUCGUGACUGCGUGCCUUUUGAAGAAUGAGCCUGCGAGUUUGCGGUGUGUUGCGAGGUUAACCCGUGUGGGGAAGCCGUAGCGAAAGCGAGUCCG
rnacentral:rRNA from 1 species